UGAUACUUGGCUGGAAAGAAGCCAGGGAGGAACUGGAGGUGGUGCCUUUAUGGACCGUUGGAGAAGAAUUCAGUUCAUCAAAGGAAUGAGGAGGCGAUGAGUGACCAAGUUGCCACUUCUAGAGGGUUGAGCAACACAACAAGGAUUUCCCCAUCCCUUCAACCUAAUCUUCUGGAGAAGAGAAAAGCAAGCCCUUCAUUAAAGUGCUAAAGACCACUUUAAUGGUAAAGAAAGAGCAGCAGAAGAAAUGGGCUGAGCUGAAUCUGGACUAACUCAGAUGGGAAGCUCAGAGCUGGCACCUGGCAGACUGCAACCAUAAAGUGUCCCUGGAGAAAUUCUCAGCUGCCUCCUAUCUCUCCUACCUGCUGCCUGGAGCAAAACAUGGGAGCACAGCAUGAUGGAGAGAGCAAAUAGUCAGGUUGGAAUAGGAA